UGUACUUGGUGAGACUUUUUCAAUGGUGAUAUGGUCGAAGCUUGAGGAGUUGUACAUGGCGAAGUCCCUCAAAAUACUCUCUUCCUUUAGAGGUAGUUCUACCAACUGUGGAUGACUGUGGGACAGAGCAUGCAAGAGCAUCUCAACCACUUUAAGAAGAUCCUCAUCGUCUUCAGCGUUGGUGAGAAAGUUAAAGAGAAGAUCAGGAUGCUAGUCUUGCUAGCAUCACUUUCUUCUUCGUAUGAGUCC
rnacentral:lncRNA from 1 species